rnacentral:sRNA from 1 species
AUUGGCGAAUAAAGCAAAGCGCCGCCCGGAGAGGCCGGGCGGCGUUCGACACGGGCU